rnacentral:rRNA from 1 species
CACGUAGGGUGCGAGCGUUGUCCGGAAUUAUUGGGCGUAAAGAGCUCGUAGGCGGUGUGUCGCGUCGGCCGUGAAAACCUGCAGCUUAACUGUGGGCUUGCGGUCGAUACGGGCAGGCUAGAGUUCGGUAGGGGAGACUGGAAUUCCUGGUGUAGCGGUGAAAUGCGCAGAUAUCAGGAGGAACACCGAUGGCGAAGGCAGGUCUCUGGGCCGAUACUGACGUGAGGAGCGAAAGCGUGGGGAGCGAACAGG